GACGAACGCUGGCGGCGUGCUUAACACAUGCAAGUCGAACGAAGUGGCGAACGGGUGAGUAAUACGUGGGUAACCUGCCCUUCUUUUUGGGAUAAGCUUUGGAAACGGGGUCUAAUACCGACUAUCGGGGUAUGGGCGCUCGGCCUAUCGGCUAGUUGGUGGGGUGGUGGCCUACCAAGGCGGUGACGGGUAGCCGGCCUGAGAGGGUGACCGGCGACUGUGGGACGGGGAUACGGCCGAGAGUACUACGGGGUGCAGCAGUGGGGGAGAUUGCACAAAGGGCGAAAGCCUGAUGCAGCGACGCUGCGUGGGGGAUGAAGGCUUUCGGGUUGUAAACCUCGUGCGCUAUAGAACGGGUAGGUGGAGAAGAAGCGCCGGCUAACUACGUGCCAGCAGCCGCGGUAAUAC
rnacentral:rRNA from 1 species